GCCGGUGAGCUCAGUGGUGAGAGCUUUGGCCUGAGGACCAAGGGGUUGUGGGUUCAAUUCCCAGUCAACGGCA
rnacentral:tRNA from 1 species